rnacentral:rRNA from 1 species
AUUGAACGCUAGCGGGAUGCUUUACACAUGCAAGUCGAACGAGUGGCGGACGGGUGAGUAAUAUAUCGGAACGUGCCCAGUAGCGGGGGAUAACUUCUCGAAAGAGUGGCUAAUACCGCAUACUCUUGGAGCGGCCGAUAUCGGAUUAGCUAGUUGGUGGGGUAAAGGCUCACCAAGGCCACGCUCCGUAGCUGGUUUGAGAGGACGCUCAGCCACACUGGGACUGAGACACGGCCCAGACUCCUACGGGAGGCAGCAGGGGGGAAUAUUGGACAAUGGGUGAAACCCUGAUCCAGCCAUCCCGCGUGUAUGAGAAGGCCCUCGGGUUGUAAAGUACUUUUGGCAGAGAGGCGUUAUCUGCAGAAUAAGCACCGGCUAACUACGUGCCAGCCGCCGCGGUAAUAC